CCUACGGGAGGCAGCAGUAGGGAAUCUUCCACAAUGGACGCAAGUCUGAUGGAGCAACGCCGCGUGAGUGAAGAAGGUUUUCGGAUCGUAAAGCUCUGUUGUUGGUGAAGAAGGAUAGAGGUAGUAACUGGCCUUUAUUUGACGGUAAUUACUUAGAAAGUCACGGCUAACUACGUGCCAGCAGCCGCGGUAAUACGUAGGUGGCA
rnacentral:rRNA from 1 species